AUUGAACGCUGGCGGAAUGCUUUACACAUGCAAGUCGAGCGGCAGCGCGGGGCAACCUGGCGGCGAGCGGCGAACGGGUGAGUAAUACAUCGGAACGUGCCCAGACGUGGGGGGAUAACUACUCGAAAGAGUGGCUAAUACCGCAUACGAUCUACGGAUGAAAGCGGGGGAUCGCAAGACCUCGCGCGUCUGGAGCGGCUGAUGGCAGAUUAGGUAGUUGGUGGGAUAAAAGCCUACCAAGCCAACGAUCUGUAGCUGGUCUGAGAGGAUGAUCAGCCACACUGGGACUGAGACACGGCCCAGACUCCUACGGGAGGCAGCAGUGGGGAAUAUUGGGCAAUGGGCGGAAGCCUGACCCAACAACGCCGCGUGGAGGAAUGAAGGCCUUCGGUGUAACUCUUUGCUAGGGGAAGAGGAAAGGGACGGUACCCGUAGCGGAAUAAGUACACGGCUAACUACGU
rnacentral:rRNA from 1 species